rnacentral:lncRNA from 1 species
UGAUUAAAGCAACAAGAGAGAAACGAUUAAACAGAAAAAGAGAAAAAGAGAAAAGUAAAACAAAAAUAUACAAUAUGACAAUAACUACACAAGUUCGUAUUUAAAAUCACUGGUCGGUGGUCGGUCAAUCGAUAAGACGAGAUAAGUAUAACGUGCCGCUUGACAAGGGCUCGAAAAGGGGAAAGCGAAAGAGAGACGUCGGGGAAAGCGGAAUGCAGCAAGGGAAACGAGGUCGGACUAAGGGAAAAUGUAUAUUUGUAUAUUUGUACGAAAGGAACGUGGAAAUGGACUGUCCACUUUUUUGCUUUUUUUUGGCAAAAAUAAAUGAGGAAAAUAAAGAAAAAUAAUAAUAAGAAGGUGAAGAAGAAAAGAUAAGGAAAAGAGAAAGGGAAAGAGAGAGAGAAAGAAAGAAAAAAGAGACAGAAAAGGAUCAAUCGGGUUAAAUCCCUUUUAAUCUUGAUACGAUAGUGCCGCAAAGGGGUCACGAUGAUUACUGACCGCGAGCGUCGCGACGUUGUCCCCGUGUAAUGACGCAUGCGUGUUGUGAACCUUUUCUCUCUCUCUGUCUCCCACUCUCCCAUUUUCUCAUCCCCUCCCAACAACCCUGUGACGCUCGUAAUCCGUCUCUCUUCUUUCUUGAACCAUAUAUAUGCAUUUCUUUUCUUCUUUUUCUCUUUCCCCACUUUCUCUCUAUCUCUCUCUCUUUUCAAUACAUUUGACUUUCUACCAUCGCUUUUCCUACGCGAAUUUCGUUUCUCCCUUACAUUAGUCUCAGAAAUGUACAACAUAGAGGGUUGUCAUAUAAUGUUGUAAUUUGUUCCUACAUAUAUAUAUACAUGUAUAUAGGGUAAUCUUUUGAAGUAACAUCAAUAAAUUCCUAGUCGUGUUUUAUAAAUCAGUAUUGAUUGAAGAAAAAUGUCAUAAUAAACGUGACUACGCGUGUGAAGCAUUUUUAAUCGUGUACAAGACUAAAUACGGAAGUGUUCCUCUAAGUGUAAAUUAUAUCUAAAAUUGUCUAUAUCUAAAAAAAAAAAAAAGAAAAAAGGAAUACUUCUUGGAUGCAUUGUGCGGACGUGUCUUACGAGUUUAUUAUCGAUGACAAAUUCGAUCGAUCAGAAGACGCAGCUGUAUACCACAGUGGAGCGUGUCUCGUGAGAAACCGCUCGGUGAAGACGUUCGUAUACCUUCUAGCCAGAAAUAUCGGGUUUCGGUACUUAUUUUCUGUGAAACAAUUUUCAAGUGAAGUAGCGUUAUUCAUUUUCGAGAUAUGGUUUAAGUUUUAUCAUUAUUUUUUUCUUUUCUGUGCAAAUAGUACAUAACGAAUUUCCCUCCUCGACAAUACCGACUCGUUUUUAUAAUUUUCAAUGUGAUAACGUCGAAUGAAAUAUAUUAUAAUAUAAUUUUCUAUGACCAGAGAUCAAUGAUAUCGACGCUUUUGUCCGUAACUAUGAUUGUCUAUAAUGGAAAUAUUUUUGGUUUUUUUGUUUCUUUUUUCCUUUUACAUUCCGGAGACACAUGCUCGACUUAUUAAAAAGAAAAAAAAGAAAAAUAAAUACAAUAGGUAUGGUAUAAAAGAUGCUAUUAGUACACAGGAGGAAGAACGUUAGACAUACUUUUUAAUUAACUUGUUAUGUAAAUUACUACUCACAACAAAAUACAUUGAUAAUACUGUACUACUUUGUGAAAAUCAAGUAUGCACUUAUGAAGGAUUUUAUCUCUUGUGUCGGAAUAAAAUGUCUUAUGUGCAUUUGUAA